rnacentral:rRNA from 1 species
CCUACGGGAGGCAGCAGUGAGGAAUAUUGGUCAUUGGCCGGAAGUCUGAACCAGCCAAGCCGCGUGCAGGACGACGGCUCUAAGAGUUGUAAACUGCUUUUGUACAAGGGUAAACCUAAAUACGUGUACUUAACUGAAAGUACUUUACGAAUAAGCAUCGGCUAACUCCGUGCCAGCAGCCGCGGUAAUACGGAGGAUCCGAGCGUUAUCCGGAUUUAUUGGGUUUAAAGGGUGCGUAGGCGGAUUGUUAAGUUAGAGGUGAAAUGGCCGGGCUUAACGCGGGAACUGCCUCUAAUACUGGUGGUCUUGAGAGUAGGUGCGGUAGGCGGAAUGUAUGGUGUAGCGGUGAAAUGCUUAGAGAU